rnacentral:rRNA from 1 species
UGGGGAAUUUUGGACAAUGGGCGAAAGCCUGAUCCAGCAAUGCCGCGUGUGUGAAGAAGGCCUUCGGGUUGUAAAGCACUUUUGUCCGGAAAGAAAUCCUUGGCUCUAAUACAGUCGGGGGAUGACGGUACCGGAAGAAUAAGCACCGGCUAACUACGUGCCAGCAGCCGCGGUAAUACGUAGGGUGCAAGCGUUAAUCGGAAUUACUGGGCGUAAAGCGUGCGCAGGCGGUUUGCUAAGACCGAUGUGAAAUCCCCGGGCUCAACCUGGGAACUGCAUUGGUGACUGGCAGGCUAGAGUAUGGCAGAGGGGGGUAGAAUUCCACGUGUAGCAGUGAAAUGCGUAGAGAUGUGGAGGAAUACCGAUGGCGAAGGCAGCCCCCUGGCAAGUACUGACGCUCAUGCACGAAAGCGUGGGGAGCAAAACAGGAUUAGAUACCCUGGUAGUCCACGCCCUAAAANGAUGUCAACUAGUUGUUGGGGAUUCAUUUCCUUAGUAACGUAGCUAACGCGUGAAGUUGACCGCCUGGGGAGUAC